rnacentral:rRNA from 1 species
UAGAUACCCUGGUAGUCCAUGCCGUAAACGUUGGGCACUAGGUGUGGGGGACAUUCCACGUUUUCCGCGCCGUAGCUAACGCAUUAAGUGCCCCGCCUGGGGAGUACGGCCGCAAGGCUAAAACUCAAAGGAAUUGACGGGGGCCCGCACAAGCGGCGGAGCAUGCGGAUUAAUUCGAUGCAACGCGAAGAACCUUACCAAGGCUUGACAUGGACCGGACCGCUGCAGAGAUGCAGCUUCCCUUCGGGGU